rnacentral:rRNA from 1 species
GUAUGGUGCAAGCGUUAUCCGGAUUUACUGGGUGUAAAGGGAGCGUAGACGGAGUGGCAAGUCUGAUGUGAAAACCCGGGGCUCAACCCCGGGACUGCAUUGGAAACUGUCAAUCUAGAGUACCGGAGAGGUAAGCGGAAUUCCUAGUGUAGCGGUGAAAUGCGUAGAUAUUAGGAGGAACACCAGUGGCGAGGGCGGCUUACUGGACGGUAACUGACGUUGAGGCUCGAAAGCGUGGGGAGCAAACAGGAUUAGAUACCCUGGUAGUCCACGCCGUAAACGAUGACUACUAGGUGUCGGGCAGCAAAGCUGUUCGGUGCCGCAGCAAACGCAAUAAGUAGUCCACCUGGGGAGU